CCUGCCCCUUGAGGCGUUGCAGUGCGACAUUGUGUCAAAACUGUGUCAUAAGGUGGCAAAGAGUAAAAGGUCUACAUUAUUAUCUGUUCCAAACCUGAGACAGUGGGGAUUUGGAGUGACAUUUUAGACCAAUAAU
ensembl:snoRNA small nucleolar RNA SNORA17